rnacentral:miRNA from 1 species
UUUGUAUUACGUGCGGAAAUUGUUACCAUUCUUGAGCCGAAAAUGGUAACAAUUUCCGCACGUACGAUACAAA